AAGGGAGACCUAAUUCGGGUAUAAGACGAAAAAAGAGUAGUCGAAACCAAGAAUCAAUCCCAAAAGGUCGGAACGAGGUAUGUGGCUUUCAAACUAGGUUCUGGGUUCACACAAGACCUGAAUCAGGAACAAGGGCUAUUAGCUCAGGUGGUUAGAGCGCACCCCUGAUAAGGGUGAGGUCCCUGGUUCGAGUCCAGGAUGGCCCACCUGCACAGGUGGCAAAAACAAAGAAGCGAGGAAUCAGCACCUUAUCAUAUCUAUAUAUAAGAGAGAAUGCUGGCUCUGAGUAAAGAGUCCAGAGGAACCUUGAAAACUGCAUAGAGCUAGGUGAAAAAGCCAAAAAAGAAGACCGCAA
rnacentral:tRNA from 1 species